GAUGAACGCUGGCGGCGUGCCUAACACAUGCAAGUCGAGCGAAGCGGGCACGGGGGAGUAACACGUGUGUAACCCCCUAUAUGACUGGGAUAACCUCCGGAAACCGGUGCUAAUACGGAUACUUAUCGAUGGUUCCGUGCGGCAUUAGCUGGUUGGUAAGGUAACGGCUCACCAAGGCAACGAUGCAUAGCCGACCUGAGAGGGUGAUCAGCCACACUGGAACUGAGACACGGUCCAGACUCCUACGGGAGGCAGCAGUGGGGAAUAUUCCGCAAUGGGCGAAAGCCUGACGGAGCCACGCCGCGUGAGUGAUGAAGGUCUUCGGAUCGUAAAGCACUGUUAGUAGGGAAGCGGUACCUGCUCAAGAAGCCACGGCUAACUACGUGCCAGCAGCCGCGGUAAUAC
rnacentral:rRNA from 1 species